rnacentral:rRNA from 1 species
AACGAACGCUGGCGGCAGGCCUAACACAUGCAAGUCGAACGGAUCCUUCGGGAUUAGUGGCGGACGGGUGAGUAACGCGUGGGGACAUACCCUUUGGUACGGAAUAGCCUCGGGAAACUGGGAGUAAUACCGUAUGUGGUCGAGAGACGAAAGAUUUAUCGCCAAAGGAUUGGCCCGCGUUGGAUUAGGUAGUUGGUGGGGUAAUGGCCUACCAAGCCGACGAUCCAUAGCUGGUUUGAGAGGAUGAUCAGCCACACUGGGACUGAGACACGGCCCAGACUCCUACGGGAGGCGGCAGUGGGGAAUCUUAGACAAUGGGGGAAACCCUGAUCUAGCCAUGCCGCGUGAUCGAUGAAGGCCUUAGGGUUGUAAAGAUCUUUCAGGUGGGAAGAUAAUGACUGUACCACCAGAAGAAGCCCCGGCUAACUCCGUGCCAGCCGCCGCAGUAACAC